rnacentral:rRNA from 1 species
UACGGGGGGGGCAAGCGUUGUUCGGAAUUACUGGGCGUAAAGGGCUCGUAGGCGGCCAACUAAGUCAGACGUGAAAUCCCCAGGCUCAACCUGGGAACUGCGUCUGAUACUGGUUGGCUUGAAUCCGGGAGAGGGAUGCAGAAUUCCAGGUGUAGCGGUGAAAUGCGUAGAUAUCUGGAGGAAUACCGGUGGCGAAGGCGGCAUCCUGGACCGGUAUUGACGCUGAGGAGCGAAAGCCAGGGGAGCAAACGGG